rnacentral:lncRNA from 1 species
ACACACUCCCCUGCCUUUUCCCAAGGAAUUUCCAGGAGGACAAGGAGUCAACAAGGCUUUAAACAGGGGAAGGAUGCCAACACCUAGUUUUCCGUAUCCCGGGUGGUGCCUCUACUUAUGGCAAGUGUGUCCAUCAGCAGAAAGAAUAAAUCGCCUCUUGGAACACUUGCCACCUUCCAUCUCGUUUGAUGACGUACACGUUUUCUCCUGAGACAAGCAAGCUCCCACACGGUCAACCCCACACCGGAGCCGAGAACCGGCCUCUCCCCAACUCCUGGACCCCAGGAAAGCUGGCAAAGCGCUGAUCCCCAGAGUGGCAAGAGGCUUAGGGCGGGGAUCCAGACACCCAGGGAAAGAAGUGCUGUCCCAGGACCCCAGCCAAAAGAAGAGACUAGACUCACUGAAGGAGACGAGAAUAAAAGUCCUCUGCUGCGCAGUUCAGCCGCUCCCACAUCCCGCCCCAAUGUGAGAGCGGUACCGGAACCGCCAAACUGAACUGCGCGCCGGACCGGCGACGUCAGGGGUCAUGGCCCCGCCCCGCCGGGACUAU